rnacentral:sRNA from 1 species
AUUUUGCGUUAAGGAUAGUAGCGGCAUCCUUUUUUGAUUUUACAAAAAAGAUAUAGCGAAUAGCCUGCUGUUUU